rnacentral:rRNA from 1 species
GAUGAACGCUGGCGGCGUGCCUAAUACAUGCAAGUCGAGCAACGGACGAGAAGCUUGCUUCUCUGAUGUUAGCGGCGGACGGGUGAGUAACACGUGGAUAACCUACCUAUAAGACUGGGAUAACUUCGGGAAACCGUAGCUAAUACCGGAUAAUAUUUUGAACCGCAUGGUUCAAAAGUGAAAGACGGUCUUGCUGUCACUUAUAGAUGGAUCCGCGCUGCAUUAGCUAGUUGGUAAGGUAACGGCUUACCAAGGCAACGAUGCAUAGCCGACCUGAGAGGGUGAUCGGCCACACUGGAACUGAGACACGGUCCAGACUCCUACGGGAGGCAGCAGUAGGGAAUCUUCCGCAAUGGGCGAAAGCCUGACGGAGCAACGCCGCGUGAGUGAUGAAGGUCUUCGGAUCGUAAAACUCUGUUAUUAGGGAAGAACAUAUGUGUAAGUAACUGUGCACAUCUUGACGGUACCUAAUCAGAAAGCCACGGCUAACUACGUG